GAUCUUUAAAUUAAAAAAAUUUGGCGGUUAUUUAGUCCUUUCAGAGGAACCUGUUCUUUAAUCGAUAAUCCACGUUAUAUUUUACUUUAAUUUUGUUUAUAUACCUCUGUCAUUGAAUGUUUUAUUAGAAUAUCUUCUUUUAUUAUAAAUUUAUGUAAUGUCAGGUCAAGGUGUAACUAUAUUAAAGGUUGAGAUGGGUUACAUUUAAUGUUUAUUUAUUGAAUUAUAAAUUGUAAUUAUUUAUAUAAAAUAGGAUUUGAAAGUAAUUUUAGUUAAUUUUCUAUAAUGAUUUUGGCUCUAAAUAAUGCACAUAUCGCCCGUCACUUUUAUUAAUAAGAUAAAAUAAGUCGUAACAAAGUAAUUUUACUGGAAAGUGUAGUUAGAAUUAU
rnacentral:rRNA from 1 species